CUGCGGGGCGGGGAGCCGGGAUCUCCUCUGUGGAGCCGGAAUUUCCCCUCAUGAGCCGGGGAGCCGGGAUUCCUCCUGAGGAGCAGGGAUCUCCUCCGGGGAGCCGGGCUCCUCCUGUGAAGCCGGAAUCUCCUCCGAGGAGCCGGGAUCUCUCCUGAGGAGCCGGAAUCACUUCUAAGGAGCUGGGAUCUCCCCUCUGAGGAGCCGGGAUCUCUCCUGAGGAGCCGGAAUCACUUCUAAGGAGCUGGGAUCUCCCCUCUGAGGAGCCGGGGUCUCUCCUGAGGAGCCGGAAUCACUUCUAAGGAGCUGGGAUCUCCCCUCUGAGGAGCCGGGAUCUCUCCUGAGGAGCCGGAAUCACUUCUAAGGAGCUGGGAUCUCCCCUCUGAGGAGCCGGGAUAUCUCCUGAGGAGCCGGAAUCACUUCUAAGGAGCUGGGAUCUCCCCUCUGAGGAGCCGGGAUCUCUCCUGAGGAGCCGGAAUCACUUCUAAGGAGCUGGGAUCUCCCCUCUGAGGAGCCGGGAUAUCUCCUGAGGAGCCAGGCUCCCCCUGUGGAGCCGAGAUCUCCCCUCCGGAGCCGGGCUCUCCCUGAAAAGCCGGCAUCUCCUCUCUGGAGCCGGCAUCUUCCCUGAAGAGCGGCGCUGAGGGGAUGAUAGCGGGCCAGCUGCCAUAUAAUACAGUUUAUAUGUCGGUGAGCUGGCGUCUCCGAUAUCUCAGCUUUCAUCCAAAAACUGAUUCCCGAUUUUGGUUGCAGCUCUAUGUUUGUACAGCCCUGGAGGAAAUACGGCGUCUGUGUAAUCUGCAGUCUGUUUAGGAAUACAAUUAGUAGACGUGGCUGCCAUUCCCUAAUACCGCAGCAGAACUAUCCUGUCCCGCAGCUCAGGCACCCUCAAUGUACUGAGGUGUCGCAGGUGGCACUAAACCCUUCCCACUGCUCAUGGCACAGAGGAGGGAGAAUAACCCAAUUCUGAGCAAUACUCAACACUGAGCCCCAGAUAGGUUCAGACCUAAAGAAAACAUUUGUCUUUUUUCUAAAAUAUUCUCUGAUGCAUCAUUAUUAAAUACAAGCAGGUUUGACUUCCAUACCAGGUGAAAGGACUUUAGAAACCCUUAUGCACACUGGGGACAGGAGGGGAAGACGGGACAAGAGAGCAAGGACUUGUGCCAUAUUCAAAUACCCCAUAAAGGAUGGCAGAUUUGCUACAACAGACAGCAAACCAUGAAUUUGUUAAAAGAAUUCUCUUUUUUAUCCUUUAACAAUGGCCAGAGAGACAAACCACCCAGUUCUAGAAAGCCAGCAGCAGAACAAUGAGGGGCAAGCAGCUGGCACAAAAGCUGUCAGAAUGUGCAAACAAGGCCAGGAGUCAGAUGCCACACGCCCAGUGGUGAGCUGCUGUGCCACUGACGUUGAUUUGUGCCACUGGAUGUAAUCAGACUCCAGGGCUGAAAACAAGGGGAAAGCAAUGAGACAGAUUUUACAGCCAGCCACUGCAGAUGAGCAGAUAGCACCCAAGCAAGCAGUCUGGAGCCUGAUGAAAUCUCAUGGGAAUGACGAGUGCAAUUCACAAAAGAAGGAUGACAUUUCAGACCCUUGAUGCAAUCCAGUGACUAUCCUGAAAAAAAUCUUAGUCCACAGGCUGCUGAAAAACUCAUAAACAUGCAGAACUGGCAUAAAUCAUUAUCUGGGUUUUGAAAGAAAAUACUGUGCUAUCCAGGAGAUGCAAAGAGAUGCAGACCCUCUAAUAAUGGUGAUACUAAGAAUGAAAAAUAUGUUGUAUUUAAUGCAAAGCUUUUCAUUAUUUGAGCAAUAAAUUGCAGCAAAUAAAAUGCUUUAUGUUAUAUAUUAAGGACCUUGUCCCAGAAAUAAACCCCUUUAAAUGAAAACUUCUAGGUGAAUACUUAUCAAAAAUUACCUCUAUAUAUAUAUAUGUUGCCCUGAAGUUUCUUCAUGAUAAUCUCUUAAUGUACUUUUACACAUAUUUAUAUGAUUUGCUAGAGGGAUAACACAUUUUCUGUAUUUUCCCUGCUUUGUUUAAUACAGCCUUUUCACUAAAUUAUU